ACAAAAAACCAACCUGGCUAUUCCUAGGAAUGAUAAAAUAUCUUCCUUUGUAGAAGGAACAGUUAGAGAAUGGAUCAGAAUCUUUCUAUCUAGGGUAAUAGCUUUUUAGGUUGGGGUAAUUGUUCGUCCCAAAUAGAUGACCAAAGGACUGGACUUUAGAAGGUGAGACCCUGUAACCUUUACUGAAAAUGAAAUUCAGAAGAGCAGAGGUGUCAGUUUGGCAAAUUUUUUGAGAGGGGUUACACAGAAGAAUGCAAUCUAUAUAGUGGACAGUCCUAGAUUUAGGGAGAGAAAGAGAGAAGGUAAUUCAGAAACCAGGGCCUGGCCAAAUUGGUGUGGGCUGUGCUGGAAUCUCUGAGGUAGAACAGUCCAGGUAAGUUGUGUAGAAAAGUGGGUGUCAGGAUCUGUUCAGGAAAAGGCAAAUAUGUUCUGUGACUGGGUAUCUAGAGGGAUAGAGAAAGUAGCAUCCGGAGAUCUAAGAUUGAGAAAUGAGAAUUCCCCAAGGGGAUAGUGGGAAGAAGUGUAUAAGGAUUAGCCACAACAGGAUGUACAGGAACUAUGGCAGAAUUAAUGGACCUGAGGUUUUGAACCAGGAGAUAGGUUCCACUAAGUUUCCUAACUGCUAAUGUAGGGGUUUUAAAGGGGGAAGAGGUAGGGCAAAGGAGGUUUUUCCUUAAGAGAUCAGAGGUGAUAUACUUAAGGCCCCUGAGGCUCUGGAGUGAAAGCAGGUAUUGAGGUUGGGUGAUGUACCUGGUAGAAUUCAGUAAUUGCUUGACAACAGGAGAAUGUUUAGCAGCAGAGGGGUUCUGGACAUCCCUGACAAGGAGGUCUACUUGAGAAGCUGCUCAGCUCACCCUGUCAAGUGGGAGACUUCACAAUCUGUCACCCAGGAAGAGAGAGAAAGGGCCAGAAGUCAACUUGCAUUAGAAAAUGUGCUAUUACCAAGAAGCAUGUCACCAAGACAACCGAAUAGAACUGUCCAGAGUAUGUCCUUCUGCAGAAAUAUCAAUUGAGACAACUAUCCAGGCAUGAAAUACCUUCAUAAGAACUAAACAAAACAGGGAAAGCUCCUUAAACCAGAAGAGAGUUGUGGCAAAAAAAGACACACUCAACCAAGAGUUGCGAUGAAAGCAAUGUGUCACAUGAAUUGCCAAUACUUACACUAGUUAAAAGAAGAAAGAAACAAAAGAAAAUAGAGCAUCAUUAUAUAAAAGAGUCAACUUAUCAAGCAGAACCAUCCCUUUAUUCUUCUUCUUUCCCCUACAAUGAAGUGAUUCUUUACAACAUCCUGUGCUCCUUUUAAAGCCCAUUGGUUCCUUGUGGUGCUGUCAGAAUGUACAUGAGGAACGUCUACUGAAGAAAGGAAAGCCUCUCAGAAGCCAAAUACCUGAAGAAAACUCACUCUGCCUCUCAUAAGAAUCCAUCAGUGGCCAAUAUCACCUCAGUGUUUCCACAGGACGUAUCCCAGAUGAUUGAGUCGGGGGAAAGUCUACAAAAGUUUGGAUGUUGAUUAUUUCCUAAUAUCCCAGAAAUGAGAGGAAAGCCUAAACAUGAUCUAGGAUUAAGGAUACCAGCUUUUGCAGAAGAACUAAAACAACUACCCAUGUCUAAACAAGCAACUACUAGACUCUUGGGCUUCCCAUUCACAACUGCCCAUUGUUGGGUUAGCUGGACUACUGACUAGUCACCAGCCAACAAACAGGCAUUAAAUUCACCAUCCUAAGGAAAUUAUUCAUACUCAAAACAUAACAGCCAAAAGUCAUGCACUUGAAGACUUCUGUCUCUACUCCUCUAUUCUACGGAUAAAGUGAAACCAUAACUUUCAGGAAAAGAAAACAUGAGAAUGUAGAUUACAAAAGUCGGAACUGACAAAAUACAUAAAGACCAUGGGAUGGAAUUUACAUUUUGAGGAUGGCAGAGUAAUGAAUCAGAAAGAGCCUUUGACACCAACGACUCACAGGAAGUCCCAACAUGUCUCCUUAAUAUCUUCAUAGUGGUCAUAUCAUUUGAAUAUGAAGAAGAAAAAGAGCAGGUGGAGGUAUUCAACCAUGCCGUCAAUCAACUAUGCAAUGCAACUAUGCAAUGACCAAUUAAAAGAAUAAGAAAUCUAAAUGAAUAGAUCUUUUAUUAUUAAUUUCAUUUAAUACUGGUUAAGCAAGAGAGACAGUUGAAUUAGGGUUUUUAAAA
rnacentral:sRNA from 1 species